AUCGGUAGAAGCUGCAAGGUCAACUGGCCAACUACCUGCAUGUCCACUUCGCGCAGGGGUCUUGGCAUCCUGGACCUGGAGCGAUUUAGCCGUGCCCUUAGACUACGUUGGCUCUGGAUCGCUGUGAAGGCCCCUGAGCAGCCAUGGGUUGGCACCCAACCCCCCUUCAGCGACGACGACAAGGCCCUAUUUGCAGCCGCAACAACAGUCAUCCGUGAUGGAUCAACAUCAUUAUUCUAG
rnacentral:rRNA from 1 species